GCGCCGGCGAUCGGGGCGGCCCCGUCGGAGGUGCUGGCCGGCGAUGGUCCUCGCCGGCGAAUGGCUCCUCCGCGAGAACCUUCUCUUCUCAAAGUUACAUCUGAGGAACACGCGGAAAUUCCUAUGUUUCAUUGUCUGAAGAAGAGAAAAAUGUUGAGCACCUCUACAAUUCUCUGCUCUCUGUCACCAAGGCUGUUGAGAUGGCAAUGAUCUGUCGACGUUAUCUUGAUGAGGUUGCCCAGUUCAGUUCGUUGCAUUUGCAUCUUACACUGUGGAGUUCGUACGCGCAACAUCUGGCACAGCACAGUGCAGAGCUAAGUGCGGUUUGCAGAUGGAGAUAGAUUUUUUUUCUUCUUCUUAUAUCUCCACAGAAAGGAUGGACGAUUCGUCUGAUGAAGCAGAGUAGAAGCUCGGUAACAUCUUCGACGGUCAUCAUAAUGUUGCGAUGAACAGAGCAAAGCUGCAACGUAUUUGAAGUGCAUCUGCACCGCCUGAUCAAAAUCUGAACCCCUCUGAUGGACCUGCAAAAGGUCUCUGCACUCGCUACAGCCCAUAAAUAAUGUCCCAGGUUUUUCGUGUAACCAUGUAAUCCUAAUUAAUUUGGUCUGAAUUGAGAGGUAACUGCACAGCAAUUUGGUUGUUACUAUAAAACAAAAUGAAGAAUGUCUUCAGAAUAACUAGAGCUAUACCAACUGAAACAGAAGCGUUUAAAUGCCUAGUGGA